GUCUAGUCGGUCACAUGACUUGCCUGGGCUCCGCCCCAGUGCGGCCGAUCGGAGUCGCACGUCCAUCGAAAACACUGAUUUGGCGUUCAUUUCUUACAGUAAUAUUCCCAGUUGAGAACAAAGGUUGUGAUAACUUCAUUAAUGGUGAAACAAGGGUCUUGUGAGCCCUAGAGGACGAUGACGGAAUCAUUAUUAAACCAUCUGAUAAAGAUGGUGCCAUCACCUUCCUUAUUAUUAUACAUCCUUGACUGCUACCUCCUUUCCUUUAGUCUCUCCCCACCUCCUGCUCCGAUCCCAUCAUGCAAAUCCAAAAUCCCAGCUUUAGGACUCCAUUCUCCAGUAAUGAAGACCGCUGAUGAUUCCAAGUCAUUCUCCCAUCAACAGCUCUGUCCUCUUUCUCACUAAUCAGCCUUACGGUCAUUUACUUAUUACCACUCAGUCAUCCCACCCAUUAACUUUAAUUACCUGCAUCCCCCUCUUCUUCUUCUCCCCAUCUCCAUUUCACAACCAAAACUGUCGUCAUCCGUCAAGAAAUCUCCUGCUUCCAGAACCAUCUAGUUUACUUGCAUCCUCCUCCUCUCUCUCCAGAGAGUGCAGUGUGAGAGCCACAGUAUGCAGAGUACAGUGGAAGGAACCAGGAACAAAGCGGAUCCCCACCUUCAGGGGUACCCAAGAAGAAGGACGGGAGGUGUUAGUCUUCUGGAGAGGACUAUCUGGGUGAGUGGUAGGAAACCACAUUUGGCGGAAGGCCCCUAGUAACGUGUCCAUGAGAGAUCCCGUUUAGAUAGAGCCCCCAGCGAAUAGGGGAGAGCCCACCGAAAUGGAUCUCAGUUUGCGGACGCCGCACUACUGAUUCCCAGAGACUGCACUGGUAUGUACAGUACUGUAAUGCUGUCCCAUCAUUGUUAAUGCUGUUAAUGCCAGUGAAGCAAAUGAAAGGAAAUGUAACCUGAUGUAACCCAUAUGAAUAUUUCUCUGAAGAGAAGAGAACAAGAAAUCAAAUGUUAUUGUCGUGAUAACCCUGUCUGAACUGUGAAUAAACUGCUUGCUUAUGUGAUGA